rnacentral:misc_RNA from 1 species
AACCUUAUGGACCUGCGGGCGUAUACCUGCGGAGGGAUCAUUACCGAGUGCGGGCCCUCUGGGUCCAACCUCCCACCCGUGUUUAUCGUACCUUGUUGCUUCGGCGGGCCCGCCGUUCUGGCCGCCGGGGGGCACCCGCCCCCGGGCCCGCGCCCGCCGAAGACACCCUCGAACUCUGUGCGAAGAUUGCAGUCUGAGUGGAAUCACAAAUUAGUUAAAACUUUUAGCAACGGAUCUCAG